GUAGGGCGCAAGCGUUAUCCGGAAUUAUUGGGCGUAAAGAGCUCGUAGGCGGUUUGUCGCGUCUGCUGUGAAAUCCCGAGGCUCAACUUCGGGUCUGCAGUGGGUACGGGCAGACUAGAGUGCGGUAGGGGAGAUUGGAAUUCCUGGUGUAGCGGUGGAAUGCGCAGAUAUCAGGAGGAACACCGAUGGCGAAGGCAGAUCUCUGGGCCGUAACUGAUGCUGAGGAGCGAAAGGGUGGGGAGCAAACAGGCUUAGAUACCCUGGUAGUCCACCCCGUAAACGUUGGGAACUAGUUGUGGGGUCCAUUCCACGGAUUCCGUGACGCAGCUAACGCAUUAAGUUCCCCGCCUGGGGAGUACGGCCGCAAGGCUA
rnacentral:rRNA from 1 species